CGAGCGAGAACCGGGGCUUCGGCCCCGGGGACAGCGGCGAACGGGUGAGUAACACGUGGAUAACCUGCCCUCGGCACCGGGAUAGCCCGGGGAAACCCGGAUUAAUACCGGAUGGCCCUUCGGCCCUUCGGGGCGGUCGGGAAAGGUAGCUUCGGCCUCUGGCCGAGGAUGGGUCCGCGGCGGAUUAGCUUGUUGGCGGGGUAACGGCCCACCAAGGCAACGAUCCGUAGCUGGUCUGAGAGGACGAUCAGCCACACUGGGACUGAGACACGGCCCAGACUCCUACGGGAGGCAGCAGUGGGGAAUCUUGCGCAAUGGGCGAAAGCCUGACGCAGCGACGCCGCGUGAGGGAAGAAGGCCUUCGGGUUGUAAACCUCUUUCAGGAGGGACGAAGCCACUCGGGUGAAUGCCCAGAGGGUGACGGUACCUCCAGAAGAAGCCCCGGCUAACUACGUGCCAGCAGCCGCGGUAGUACGUACGGGGCGAGCGUUGUCCGGAUUUACUGGUCGUAACGAGCGUGUAGGCGGACGUGCAGGUCUGUUGUGAAACUGGAGGCUCACUUCCGACGUCACAGAUCCGCUUGGUUAGAUCCGGAGAGGAGAGUGGAUUCCUGGAGUUCGGUGAAGUCUCAUAUUCAGGAGAGACCAAUGGCCAAAGCAGCUCUCUGGGACUGCCUGAUGUGAGAUCCCCGCGUGGGGAUGAACGGAUGGAUCCCUGCUAGUCCAGCCGUAACUAUGUUGCUACUGUGCGAAGGUCGAUCGUCCUUGGAUUCUCCGGUUACCACGCUUCUGGGAGCCAGGCCAGUAUAACCUCUAUGAUUGAUUGGCAAUGUCACUGGUCAACCCCAGUCUGUCGAUUGCGAGGUUAUU
rnacentral:rRNA from 1 species